CGUCCUCCCCCAACAGCACGGGUAGCCUAUUCCCAUCAGAGAGGUCUCUCUGUGUCCUCCCCCAACAGGACGGGUAGCCUAUUCCCAUCAGAGAGGUCUCUCUGCGUCCUCCCCCAACAGGACGGGUAGCCUAUUCCCAUCAGAGAGGUCUCUCUGCGUCCUCCCCCAACAGGACGGGUAGCCUAUUCCCAUCAGAGAGGUCUCCCUGCGUCCUCCCCCAACAGGACGGGUAGCCUAUUCCCAUCAGAGAGGUCUCUCUGUGUCCUCCCCCAACAGGACGGCUAGCCUAUUCCCAUCAGAGAGGUCUCUCUGCGUCCUCCCCCAACAGGACGGGCAGCCUAUUCCCAUCAGAGAGGU
ensembl:lncRNA